rnacentral:pre_miRNA from 1 species
UAACUACUCCCUUCGUCCGGAAAUACUUGUCAUCAAAAUGGAUAAAAGGAGAUGUAUCUAGACGUAUUUUAGUUCUAGAUGCAUCCCUUUUUAUGCAUUUUGAUGACAAGUAUUUUCGGACGGAGAGAGUAUUUG